CUGGUGCUAUUGAAGGUUGAUGGCUGGAGAGGUACGGAAGGCACCGGAGAUAGUCGGUCAUUGUAGAAAUCCGACUGCUGGAGCCCAUCCGUUGUAGAAGUUCGUCCAAAAUCCAACUGCUAUAGAAGUUCGGACGGAGUCCGAUUCUUGUAGGAGUCUGGAAGAAGGCCGCUUAUUGUAGAAGCUCGGAUGGAGACCAGUUGCCGUAGAAGUUUGGAUGGAGACCGCUUAUCGUAGAA
rnacentral:lncRNA from 1 species